AUUGAACGCUGGCGGCAUGCCUUACACAUGCAAGUCGAACGGCAGCAUGAUCUAGCUUGCUAGAUUGAUGGCGAGUGGCGAACGGGUGAGUAAUACAUCGGAACGUGCCCUGUAGUGGGGGAUAACUAGUCGGAAGAUUAGCUAAUACCGCAUACGACCUGAGGGUGAAAGUGGGGGACCGCAAGGCCUCAUGCUAUAGGAGCGGCCGAUGUCUGAUUAGCUAGUUGGUGAGGUAAAGGCUCACCAAGGCGACGAUCAGUAGCUGGUCUGAGAGGACGAUCAGCCACACUGGGACUGAGACACGGCCCAGACUCCUACGGGAGGCAGCAGUGGGGAAUUUUGGACAAUGGGCGAAAGCCUGAUCCAGCAAUGCCGCGUGUGUGAAGAAGGCCUUCGGGUUGUAAAGCACUUUUGUCCGGAAAGAAAUGGCUCUGGUUAAUACCUGGGGUCGAUGACGGUACCGGAAGAAUAAGGACCGGCUAACUACGUG
rnacentral:rRNA from 1 species